ensembl:snRNA U6 U6 spliceosomal RNA
GUGCUCACUUCGGCAACACAUAUACUAAAAUUGGAAGGAUACAGAGAAGACUAGCAUGGCCCCUGCAGAAAGAUCUAAUGCUUAUUAAAUCAAAAAGGAAGAGCUUCU